CGCGGCCUAUCAGCUUGUUGGUGAGGUAAUGGCUCACCAAGGCGUCGACGGGUAGCCGGCCUGAGAGGGUGACCGGCCACACUGGGACUGAGACACGGCCCAGACUCCUACGGGAGGCAGCAGUGGGGAAUAUUGCACAAUGGGCGCAAGCCUGAUGCAGCAACGCCGCGUGAGGGAUGACGGCCUUCGGGUUGUAAACCUCUUUUAGCAGGGAAGAAGCGAAAGUGACGGUACCUGCAGAAAAAGCACCGGCUAACUACGUGCCA
rnacentral:rRNA from 1 species